AGAGCGAACGCUGGCGGCAGGCCUAACACAUGCAAGUCGAGCGCGUGUAGCAAUACACGAGCGGCAGACGGGAGAGUAACACGUGGGAACGCGCCCUUCGGUUCGGAAUAACUCAGGGAAACUUGAGCUAAUACCGGAUACGCCCUUACGGGGAAAGAUUUAUUGCCGAAGGAACGGCCCGCGUCCGAUUAGCUAGUUGGUGAGGUAACGGCUCACCAAGGCGACGAUCGGUAGCUGGUCUGAGAGGAUGACCAGCCUCACUGGGACUGAGACACGGCCCAGACUCCUACGGGAGGCAGCAGUGGGAAUAUGGACAAUGGGCGCAAGCCUGAUCCAGCCAUGCCGCGUGGAUGAUGAAGGCCUUAGGGUUGUAAAGUCCGUUUUAACGGGGAAGAUAAUGACGGUACCCGUAGAAUAAGCCCGGCUAACUUCGUGCCAGCAGCCGC
rnacentral:rRNA from 1 species